GCCGCAGAGCCGUGCACAGAAGACAGACCUAGCCCAUGGGGAAGGGAGGAGGAGAAAGGGGGAUAUUUUAAGGGGUAGCACAGAGCAACCCUUUAAACACUUAUUAAGGAUCAUUGGGUCUCCCACGUGACGGUUGAGCUAACGUAGGCUAAUGCGCUUAGCAUGAGGCUGUAAGUAUCAAAAGAAAUUCCCAGGACGUAGACAUUUCUGAUAUUGGCAGAAAGCUUACAUUUGUGUUAAUCAAACUGCACUGUCCAAUUUACAGUAGCUAUUACAGUGAAAUAAUACCAUGCUAUUGAGAGUGCACCGUUUUGAACUUGAAAAGUUGUUAAUAAACAAAUUAGGCACAUUCAGGCAGUCUUGAUACAUAAUUUUGAAUAUAAAUACAAUGGUUCUUUGGAUCAGUCUAAAACGUUGCACAUACACUCCUGCCAUCUAUUGGCGAAAAUCUAAAUUGCAUCUGGGCUGGAAUAAUACAUUAUGGCCAUUUUCUUUCAUUUCAAAGAUGAUGGUACAAAAAAAUAAUUUGUUUUAAUUUAAUUAAAAGAUAAUUGAAGGUGAUCAAAUGGUUGCUUACCCAAAAAAACUAUUUCAAACACACACAGGCACGUUGUCCAGCGUCAUUAUGGCCAUUAGCAUGUAGCUGGACAAUAGACUUUCCUAGGAGGAGGGUAGGGGGGAAUUCUAUCCUCAAAUGUAUUUCUUAGUUAGGUUGGCUGUAUCAUAACCGGUCGUGGCUGGUUACAAUUUCAGGUUAAUCCACCAGAAAAGACAAAACAAAUAAUAAUAAUAAUAAUAAUAUUUUUGUUGUAUUGUGUAUCACAUCUGACUGUGAUUGGGAGUCCAAUAGGGCGUCGCACAAUUGGCCCAAUGAUUCUCUCCCUCUAAAAACAGAAAUAAAUGUUUUAGCUUUUACAAAUAUUAUGUUGGCCUUUAUUCAGAUUACUCUAUUCACUCACUUUAGUUUUGGUGGUGCAAAAAGUGCAAACCAAUCCCAGAACAGCAAAGCACCUUGUAAAGAUGCGGGAGGAAACGGGUACAAAGUAUCUAUAUCCACAGUAAAACGAGUCCUAUAUCGAUAUUACCUGAAAGGCUGCUCAGCAAGGCAGAAGUCACUGCUCCAAAACCACCAUAAAAAAGGCAGACUACGGUUUGCAACUGCACAUGGAGACAAAGAUCAUACUUUUUGGAGAAAGGUCCUCUGGUCUGAUGAAACAAAAAUAUAACUGUUUGGCCAUAAUGACCAUCGUUAUGUUUGGAGGAAAAAGUGGGAUACUUGCAAGCCAAAGAACACCAUCCCAACCGUGAAGCAUGGGGGUGGCAGCAUCAUGUUGUGGGGGUGCUUUGUUGCAAGAGGGACUGGUGCACUUCACAAAAUUGAUGGCUUCAUGAGGAAGAAAAAUCAUGUGGAUAUAUUGAAGCAACAUCUCAAGACCUCAGUUAAAGCUUGGUCGCAAAUGGGUCUUCCAAAUGGACAAUGAUCCCAAGCAUACUUCCAAAAUUGUGGCAAAAUGGCUUAAGGACAACAAAGUCAAGGUAUUGGAGUGGCCAUCACAAGGCCCUGACCUCAAUCCUAUAGAAAAUCUGUGGGCAGAACUGAAAAAGCAUGUGCGAGCAAGGAGGCCUAAAAACCUGACUCAGUUAUACCAGCUCUGUCAGGAGGAAUGGGCCAAAAUUCACCCAACUUAUUGUGGGCAGCCUGUGAAAGCUUGUGAAUACCUUGACAACAAAGUCAAGGUAUGGGAGUGGCCAUCACAAAGCCCUGACCUCAAUCCUAUAGAAAAUCGGUUGGCAGAACUGAAAAAAGUGUGUGCGAGCAAGGAGGCCUUUACAAUCCUGACUCAGUUAUACCAGCUCUGUCAGGAGGAAUGGGCCAAAACUCACCCAAUUUAUUGCGGGCAGCUUGUGGAAGGCUACCCAAAAUGUUUGACCCAAGUUAAACAAUUUAAAGGCAAUAUUACCAAAUACUAAUUGAGUGUAUAUAUACUUCUGACCCACUGGGAAUGUGAUGAAAGAAAGAAAAGCUGAAAUAAAUCAUUCUCUCUAUUACUAUUAUUCUGACAUUUCACUUUCUUACAUUAUAGUGGUGAUCCUAACUGACCUAAGACAGGGAGUUUUUACUAGGAGUAAAUGUCAGGAAUUGUGAAAAACUGAGUGUAAAUGUAUUUGGCUAAGGCGUUUGUAAACUUCCGACUUCAACUGUAUAUAACAUUUCUUACCGAGCAUUUCCAUAAAUCCAUGCAAGUUCCUUCAACUGUCUUCUGACUGAUUAGAGCGAUGUUGAUGUUUUGCCAUGAUGCCAGCAGAUUACAGGUGGCCUUUGCUGAUCGCUCAUCAUCUUCAUUCAUCAGUGCGUCGAUGGCUUGAAUAGUCUCGCUGGAAAUUGAAUACAAUGUAAACAUGUGCAGUAUACAGUAAAAACCAGCAGUCGAUUUAUUUAAGCAUUAUUAGGCCGACUUUACAGUAUUGUCGCCUACUGUAACUGUUCAUUUCCCUGUGCUUUCAAGUUUGGCGUAAAACAAGCAUCUGAUGACAGUGUUUGCGAAUAGCACCCUUCGUGACCAAAAUUCCCAAGUCAACCAGUAUUUUUGAAAUGUCUCCAGUAGAUUUUCCGUUCUUCCUGAAUGCCCUAAUCUGCUCACUUAAAUUAAUAGAGUUCCUGGUCAUGGUGCUACAGUAUGUUGUACUACAUAAUCUAAGUGAGGAGAAUCUGCAAUCUCCUGUAUACUUAUAGCCGUGACCAAAAUGAGCCAGAACUGAGAGGAUCACCAAAAAUAAAAGGUAUUUUGGUUUCAGUGCAUUUUAUAUACAAAACAUGUAUAUAGCUUAUCAAUGUGUAGGCAUACUGUGUAAUAAAAUCAAUAAUUGUGUACUAAAAACGUGAAUGUGUUUUAGCAGAGCUUACAACCCUGCAGACAACAAUCCGUGGAGAUCAGUGGACAAAGGGCUGGACAACGGGCCACACCGGAAAAAAACGCAUGGUUGCCAAGAAAGCGGCCACUGUAAUCAAUGGGGGCUCAGGCUGGUACCAUUCUGCUCAUCUGACGAAGGUGCUCAUAUGGAUGAGAUUCAAACCUUGAAGACCAAGAUCGAGUAAUUGAAGGCAGACCAUCAGAAAGAGAAACAUUCUCUGAGGGCAGAGAUACGGGUGACAGCUGAUGCAUUGUUACAGUGCCAGGCAGUCAUGUGGAGAAUGAUGCGUUGAAAAGGGCGAGGAACGAGAUGGAUUCACAAUCCAUGCCAGACACACCUGUGAGCUCUGGAACUCCACCUCUGACAGGCAGAGUCAACAUACGUGAUGGGUUCGUCAGGUCACCCUGACAUUUCCAUUCCUCUUCUGACAACAGAACUUGACAAACUGCUCACCAGGCAUAGCAAGGGCCGUCCGGACCGUUACGUUGUUCCGCUAUUCCAAGGAUGUGUAACCGAAGAUAGAUACCCAUAGUGGACACAGAAUACCAACUGGGCUGGAUCCCGAGGCAAAUGUGGCUUACCAGUGAACCUCCGGGAGUCCAUCAUUAAUACUGUGUCUCAGAAGUUUCUGUACAAGUUUCUGUCCAAGCAUGACAACCUGCAUAAGGACCUUGUGACCUAAGAGAACAGAAAACAUGGACAUAGAAGCUAGCUUGAUGAAAACUUUCUACAUAGUAAAUUACUAUAAUGUCAACCCAAGGUUUUACAUUACAAUUAUAACUUAAUAUCGCAGACCAGAUUUGCCCUAACGAUUAAGCACUGAUUAUGCUUUUGGGUCCCAAUGCACUACUGUGUCUCUGACAAUGAACGGGCAAUAUAAACCAAAAAAAUAAACUAAUAAUUGUGCACAACUUCAAAUGUAACAAAUAGGGAGCAGGUUUUCGAACCCUCAACCUUCUCGCCCAAAGUCCAACACUCUAUCGAGUGUGACCAAAUGUAUUAAUUAGGGUUGGGGCCAAUUGGGCGAAAAAUACACUAUCAAGCAUUGGGGCAUCAUCUUGAUAAAUCAAUGAGAUUUUUAUUUUCACUGUAUUUCCGUUUGGGUAUUGGUUACACUACAAUUAGAGUGUGGAAAUGUUAUGCCCCUUAGAUAUUAUGCUGUAGCCUACUCCCGGCUAUCACGUUGUAUAGCGCCAUACGUUCCGUUUCAUUCUAACAGAAACUCUGAGGGUUUGGUUUUUCGUCUCGGAAUAGAAACCCCAUAAUAUUAAUCUAAUUAAUUAAGCCUAACUUCUUAAAAUCAAUCCCAUAAACUAUGUUAUUACAAAAAGGGUUUUAAAUUCUCUAGUAAUGCCAUUAUGGAAGACUAUCAAAUGCUUCUCAAAGAUGCCCUCUGGUGGUCAAACUAGCACUAACUUGCAUUAAUGUAAAACAUGUCUGACAUUUAAUAUAACAUGCCAUAGAAUGCUGCAGCAGGCCACAAAUUGUACGCUGCAGUGUGCUGCAACUUUUGAAGGAGGAACAGCUGUAUGUUUGGUAAUGUAUUAUUGAAUUGUGACUGCUUUAUAUAAAAGUCGCAUGUAUGUAACAUGUGUAUGCAAAAUGUUUAUGUAAAAUGUUUAUGUAAAAGGUUAUGUAAAAUGUAUGUGUAUGUAGCAGAAAAGCAAAAUCAUUGAUAUCUGCAAGAACCCUAGCCCUUCUGAAUAUUCAGUACUAUACAAAUUGAUUUAAUCAUUUAUUUACUAACUAAAUAAAAACACAGAAUACACAUA